GGGACGGGUGAGUAACACGUGGAUAACCUACCUAUAAGACUGGGAUAACUUCUGGAAACCGGAGCUAAUACCGGAUAAUAUAUUGAACCGCAUGGUUCAAUAGUGAAAGACGGUUUUGCUGUCACUUAUAGAUGGAUCCGCGCCGCAUUAGCUAGUUGGUAAGGUAACGGCUUACCAAGGCAACGAUGCGUAGCCGACCUGAGAGGGUGAUCGGCCACACUGGAACUGAGACACGGUCCAG
rnacentral:rRNA from 1 species